rnacentral:rRNA from 1 species
AUGGUCGCCUCCCGUGCACAAGUCCACCCAUCUCCUCAUCCUCCAUUGUCGUCCAUGGCCGGAUGGUGCAGAGGAGCGUGGUGGAUCACCGCCGAUGCUGCAACAUGUGUGUGUGUUGUAAGAGGUGGAGCUAUGACGAGCUGGCUGCUCGGUGAUGUUGUCGUUAUUGCUGGAGGUGACGACAACAUGGUCCAUAUUGCAAUGGGUGACCGCAACAUGGUUUAUGUUGCAGUGGGUGACCAAAGGCCCCACGUCAUUCAAGCUGGUGAUGACCACACCAUGUCUCAUGUUGCAAUGGAUGACCAAAGCACAUGUCAUGUAUACGCAUAA